UUCUGAAUUUUCUUGCAAGCAUAGUCAUUCCUUCUUCAUCAUAUUCCUCCUCAUCAUCAGAUUCUUCUGAUUCAGUUUUCUGUUUUGGAGUGGUAGACUUCAAGGCAAUGAUCUUUCUUUUCUUGACCUCAUCUUCUGAAUUUUGCCUCAUGGUCAACUCAUGGGUCAUGAGUGAUCCUAGAAGUUCUUCCAAUUGCAGUGUAU
rnacentral:lncRNA from 1 species